GAUGAACGCUAGCGGCAGGCUUAACACAUGCAAGUCGAACGGUAACAGGGAGAGCUUGCUCUCCGCUGACGAGUGGCGCACGGGUGCGUAACGCGUAUACAAUCUGCCCUUUACUGGAGAAUAGCCCCGGGAAACCGGGAUUAAUACUCCAUAGUAUCACGAAAUGGCAUCAUUUUGUGAUUAAAACUCCGGUGGUAAAGGAUGAGUAUGCGUCCUAUUAGUUUGUUGGUGAGGUAACGGCUCACCAAGGCUACGAUAGGUAGGGGGUCUGAGAGGAUGAUCCCCCACACUGGUACUGAGACACGGACCAG
rnacentral:rRNA from 1 species